rnacentral:rRNA from 1 species
CGAACGCUGGCGGCGUGGUUUAGGCACGCAAGUCGAGCGAUCCCGCAAGGGAUAGCGGCAAAAGGGUGAGUAACACGUGGGCAACUUUCCUCCGAACUCGGGAUAACAUGUCGAAAGACAUGCUAAUACCGAAUGAGACCACGACCCCGCAUGGGGUUGUGAGAAAAGGUGGCCGUAAGGCUGUCGAUCGGAGAUGGGCCCGCGUCCUAUCAGCUAGUUGGUAGGGUAACGGCCUACCAAGGCUACGACGGGUAGCUGGUCUGAGAGGAUGGUCAGCCACACUGGGACUGAGACACUGCCCAGACUCCUACGGGAGGCUGCAGUCGAGAAUCUUUCGCAAUGCCCGCAAGGGUGACGAUGCGACGCCGCGUGGAGGAUGGAGGUCUUCGGAUCGUAAACUCCUUUUAGUGGGGAAGAAUCUUGAAGGGCUGAAUAGGCCUAUCAGGUGACGGUACCCACAGAAGAAGCCACGGCUAACUCCGUGCCAGCAGCCGCGGUAAUACGGAGGUGGCGAGCGUUGCUCGGAUUUAUUGGGUGUAAAGGGUCUGUAGGCGGUCUUAUAAGUCAGAUGUGAAAUCCCACUGCUCAACGGUGGAACUGCAUUUGAAACUGCAAGACUCGAGUCAGGGAGAGGAGAGGGGAAUUCCCGGUGUAAGGGUGAAAUCUGUAGAGAUCGGGAGGAACACCAGUGGCGAAGGCGCCUCUCUGGCCCAUGACUGACGCUGAGCGACGAAAGCUAGGGGAGCAAACAGGAUUAGAUACCCUGGUAGUCCUAGCCGUAAACGAUGGGGACCAGGUGUCGGUCCGUUACGGAUCGGUGCCGAAGUUAACACAUUAAGUCCCCCACUGGGGAGUACGUCCGCAAGGAUGAAACUCAAAGGAAUUGACGGGGACCCGCACAAGCGGUGGAGCAUGUGGUUCAAUUGGAUGCUACGCCAGGAACCUUACCAGGGCUUGACAUGUAUAUGAAAGGCCUCCGAAAGGAGGUCCCUCCCUCAAGGACAUGUACACAGGUGUUGCAUGGCUGUCGUCAGCUCGUGUCGUGAGAUGUUGGGUUAAGUCCCGCAACGAGCGCAACCAUCGUCCUUAGUUGCCAGCACGUCAUGGUGGGCACUCUAAGGAGACUGCCAGUGAUAAACUGGAGGAAGGUGGAGAUGACGUCAAGUCAGCAUGGCCCUUACGCCCUGGGCGACACACGUGCUACAAUGGCCAGUACAGAGGGACGCAAAUCCGAGAGGUGGAGCAAAUCCCAGAAAACUGGCCCCAGUUCAGAUUGAGGGCUGCAAUUCGCCCUCAUGAAGUCGGAAUCGCUAGUAAUGGCGCAUCAGCCACGGCGCCGUGAAUACGUUCCCGGGUCUUGUACACACCGCCCGUCAAGCCACCUGAGUUGAGUGCACCCGAAGCCGCCAUACCAACCCGUAAGGGAGGAAGGCGUCGAAGGUGUGCUCGGUAAGGGGGGCUA